UUUUCUUUUCAUCUCUGUUCUGUUUCGGCUGGAGAAGAAUAGAGGAAACAAAACACAUGAGAGAGAGAGAGAGCUAGAGGAAGUGAACACGACAGAGCUUGGGGAAGCUAACGGUAGAGGAAGAAGAUGGAGUCGAACAGAGGAAGGACAUGAGCUCGAUUGAGAGCUCGGGUUGGGUAUAUGGAAGAGAAGGAAGGUUCGGUUCCGAGCAAAGAAAACAGAGAGGAGAAGAAUGAGAGCGAGGGAGUAACAGAGAAGGCUCGGUGAAGCCCACAGAGGAGAAAGAGAACCAAGCUGAGCAAACUCGGUGGAGAAGAAGAAGAGGAAUGAUAGGUUGAAGGGAAGAUUGAUUUCAGUCAAAUAGGCUGCAUGCGUCGGGGAUCGAGGAGACAGAAAUCUAGCACUCUGGAGGUUUGACUCAAAAGGCUAUCUUUGUUGGAGUUGUCUGUGAGUACUAUAUUCCUUUAUGAAAUGAUGUAUUAUAAUUAUAUAAAUUAUUUAAGAAUAAUAUUGUGAUAGUUAGAUUAAGGAAUCGGUCUUACUAUACUGUGUGAAAGGAUUUGAGAGAUAUUGCCUAUUAUGUUCCAUUUUGACUUGAGGUAAUGUUGUCAGCACUUAAUUUCGGUC